rnacentral:rRNA from 1 species
GACGAACGCUGGCGGCGUGCUUAACACAUGCAAGUCGAACGGAAAGGCCCUGCUUUUGUGGGGUGCUCGAGUGGCGAACGGGUGAGUAACACGUGAGUAACCUGCCCUUGACUUUGGGAUAACUUCAGGAAACUGGGGCUAAUACCGGAUAGGAGCUCCUGCUGCAUGGUGGGGGUUGGAAAGUUUCGGCGGUUGGGGAUGGACUCGCGGCUUAUCAGCUUGUUGGUGGGGUAGUGGCUUACCAAGGCUUUGACGGGUAGCCGGCCUGAGAGGGUGACCGGCCACAUUGGGAGGGAGAUACGGCCCAGACCCCUAGGGGGGGCAGCAGGGGGGAAUAUUGCACAAGGGGCGGAAGCCUGAUGCAGCAACGCCGGGGGGGGGAUGACGGCCUUGGGGUGGAAAACCGCUUUCGCCUGUGACGAAGCGGGAGUGACGGUAAUGGGUAAAGAAGCACCGGCUAACUACGU